rnacentral:rRNA from 1 species
GAUGAACGCUGGCGGCGUGCCUAACACAUGCAAGUCGAACGAACAGACGAUGAGCUUGCUCCUUUGACGUUAGCGGCGGACGGGUGAGUAACACGUGGAUAACCUUCCUCUUUGUCUUGGAUAACAUCGGGAAACCGGAGCUAAUACCGGAUAAUAUGUUCAACCGGAGUGUUCAGUGGUGAAAGACGCUUUUGCCGUUACGUAUAGAUGGAUCCGCGUCGCAUUAUCUAGUUGGUAAGGUAACAGCCUACCAAGGCAACGAUGCGUCGCCGAGCUGAGGGGGUGAUCGGCCCCACUGGAACUGAGACACGGCCCAGACUCCUACGGGAGGCAGCAGUGGGGAAUCUUCCACAAUGGGCGCAAGCCUGACCUAGCAACGCCGCGUGGGUGAAGAAGGUCUUCGGGUCGUAAAGCUCUGUUCUUGGGGAAGAAAAGCAGUGUGAGUAAAUGUGGAUGUGUUGACGGUACCUAAACAAAAAGCACCGGCUAACUACGUG